UUCGCAAUGCCCGAAAGGGUGACGAAGCGACGCCGCGUGUGGGAUGAAGGCCCUCGGGUUGUAAACCACUGUCGGGAGUUAAGAAUUGUAGGAAUGCUAAUAGUAUUUCUACUUGACUAAGGCUCCGGAGGAAGCCACGGCUAACUCUGUGCCAGCAGCCGCGGUAAUACAGAGGCGGCAAGCGUUGUUCGGAAUUAUUGGGCGUAAAGAGCACGUAGGCGGCCUUGCAAGUCAGUUGUGAAAGCCUUCCGCUUAACGGAAGAACGGCAUCUGAUACUACAGGGCUUGAGUACGGGAGGGGAGAGUGGAACUUCUGGUGGAGCGGUGAAAUGCGUAGAUAUCAGAAGGAACGCCGGCGGCGAAAGCGACUCUCUGGCCCGAAACUGACGCUGAGUGUGCGAAAGCUAGGGGAGCAAACGGGAUUAGAUACCCCGGUAGUCCUAGCCGUAAACGAUGGGCACUAAGUAGAGGGGUUUU
rnacentral:rRNA from 1 species